AUAAUAACCCGGAGAUCGGUCCCAUUUUCUCCACGAAGACGCGCGCUCGCGAGCCCCGCGCUCCCGGUUCCGCGCCCGUUCUGGGCCGCGGUUCCCGCGCCGCGUCCAUUAGGUAAAUGAGCCCCGCCACUCAACCCCGCCGAAUAUUAAGGCGGGGAGCGCGACCGAGGGCCAGCAGAGACCCCGCUCGGCGGCGCGCCGCGCGCUCCGGGACCCGCCACCGAGUGCCGGAACCGAGUCGGAGUGGGAAUGGACGCGCCGACAGUGUAAUAACUGGAGAUUUUCAGACUGUCCUGACCUCACUGUGGCUCUCAGACGGAGAGAUAUGUUCUCCACCACACGCCAGACUUCGCUUCAAGGCCAGAAGAGCGAACCUGUUGAAUGCGCUUUGUUCGUCCUCAAGUGCGUUUUUUUUAUUAGUCUCCACUGCGUAAUUGCGCGCAGCUCAGGCGAGUAAUUUUUUUUUACUACGCGCUUUCUGUCUUUUCUAUUAUAAUUAUUAUUAUUUCUUGAUGUAUUGUGGCGAACCUCAGUCUCGGGGAAAGGACCCGUCCGAAGGUUGAGAAGAACCGAAGAGUGGCCGAAACCGGAGCGCGACGCGGAGAUUCUCCAGACCCCGCAGCUCGCCUCAUCGCGUCCUCUGGGCCGCCCGAUCGUGGACGCCUGCCCGUAAUUCUCCUCGUUAGAGACGCGCUCCCCCGGAACGCUCGGGUCCUGAUGGGAGGACCUUGUUUUAGGGGUAACUCUCCAGCGCGUCGACGCACCCUUUGUUUCGCCCCAAAGGUCAUUCGGAGAGGAGCAAGUAUCCGGCAGGCCUCUCGAAGACCCCCAUUCUUCAGCCGGAGAUUUCAUUCAGCCAAAAUUAAUGAAGCUCGAUUGGACGUAAUGACGCUAAUAGAUUUGCAGAGGAGCGCGCAGGAGACACGGGCCACGGAGCCGCUGCUAACGAAGUAGAUUUUUUUUUCACAAUUUCUUCACCAGUGUGAGUCGAUUGACAUCGACUGCACUUUUUAUGACUCUAAAUACCCGAUUAGAAUUCCUGAUUCCCGAUGCCCCACUUGCACCGAGCGACUGUUGCCAGAAUAUGCCAGAAAGUUUGGCAGUAUUUUAUUAAAUAAUCAUACCCCUCCACGUUGCCUGCUUCAGCAAACUCGCCAAUGUUAAUAAAGUUCAGGCUGAAUCGCAUGGGGACUAAAACAUCAAAAAUGACGAUACACAUGUAAUUUAUCCAUUUUAAAAAGCUCAUUGUGACUUUUAACAUUUAACUGUCCUCCAACUGAAAAUGUAGUUUUUUUACACGCUGGUGCUGCAAACUUGCUGCAAAAGUGCAGAACCAUCUACGGCACCCUUACUGAACAACCAUCCAGAAGCAGGGAUCCCCUAAACAACAUUUUCAAACCCUGUAAGCCUGUUUGCAUCUUUAUGAACUCUAGGUGGGGUCAAGAGGGUCAUGGGACUAUGACUUCCAACAAUACCUUGCAUUUGGAAACUAAAAUGCUAAAAUCAAAUAUGCUCCAUAUAAAUUACCAUUGUUUUUCUUUUUCUUCAUGAUAACGCUUGAUAAUUAUGUUAUUUGAAGUGACUGACAUGUCUUAGAACAUAGAAAGGGAAUUCAUGUUGUGGAAAUGAACUGUGCAAUACCAUGUAAAUAAUUAUAUAUGUUGAAAUGUAAUAUAAAAUCACAUUAAAUUGUCAUAUGUUUUUUUUUUACUAGAGGUAAUUAUUGUGGCAAUGCAGUAAUGUACUUAAAGCAAGACAGAAAAAAAGAAACAGACAGAUAACAUUGUCA
ensembl:lncRNA